AUGGAGCGUCUUCACCAUUUUUCCACGGUCAAUCUUUCAGAAAGUGGGCAGCGAAGACUCGGAAAGUAUACACCCAAGAUGAACUUGACGAGGUCCGCAUUGAAGUAGCUGACUAUUUGCAGACUUUGCUAUAGAUGCUGACUCUACCAAAGUGAUUUUGAGUAAGGCUAGCUAGAUUUUGUAGAACCAUUUUGACGUAGAAAGUUGUACAGUUGCAGUUGAACUAAACUGCAUAUAGUUAUUGCAAUGGUCUAUUUUGGGCUAGCCUUGAUGUAGGUUGGGGUGUUUUUGCCUAUUUUUGAAACUAUUAACAAUUCUGCUGUUCGACAUAAAUUAAUGCAAUGCCCCAUAUUCAAUUAAUU
rnacentral:lncRNA from 1 species